GACGGAGGGUGCUAGCGUUGUUCGGAAUUACUGGGCGUAAAGGGCGCGUAGGCGGCCGCUUGCGUCGGAUGUGAAAUCCCGGGGCUCAACCCCCGGAACUGCAUUCGAUACUGCCUUGCUAGAGUACUGGAGAGGAGAUUGGAAUUUACGGUGUAGCAGUGAAAUGCGUAGAUAUCGUAAGGAAGACCAGUGGCGAAGGCGGAUCUCUGGACAGUUACUGACACUGAGGCACGAAGGCCAGGGGAGCAAACGGG
rnacentral:rRNA from 1 species